CCUACGGGAGGCAGCAGUAAGGAAUAUUGGACAAUGGUCGCAAGACUGAUCCAGCCAUGCCGCGUGCAGGAUGACAGCCCUAUGGGUCGUAAACUGCUUUUGUGCGAGAAAAAACCCCUCUACGUGUAGAGGGCUGAUUGUAUCGUAAGAAUAAGGAUCGGCUAACUCCGUGCCAGCAGCCGCGGUAAUACGGAGGAUCCAAGCGUUAUCCGGAUUCAUUGGGUUUAAAGGGUGCGUAGGCGGAAUGAUAAGUCAGUGGUGAAAGCCUGCAGCUUAACUGCAGAACUGCCAUUGAUACUGUCAAUCUUGAGUACAUUUGAUGUGGGCGGAAUGUGUCAUGUAGCGGUGAAAUGCUUAGAUAUGACACAGAACACCGAUUGCGAAGGCAGCUCACAAAACUGUAACUGACGCUGAGGCACGAAAGCGUGGGUAUCAAACAGGAUUAGAUACCCUGGUAGUCCACGCUGUAAACUAUGAUUACUCGAUGUUUGCGAUACACUGUAAGCGUCUAAGCGAAAGCGAUAAGUAAUCCACCUGGGAGUACGCUCGCAAGAGUGAAACUUCAAAGAGUUAGUUAGGACCGGUUGUAGGAGUACGUUCGACCGGACGGGACAACCACCGGGAAGGGGUAAGUAAGGG
rnacentral:rRNA from 1 species